GGAUGUUUAAGUCAGUUGUGAAAGUUUGCGGCUCAACCGUAAAAUUGCAGUUGAUACUGGAUAUCUUGAGUGCAGUUGGGGCAGGCGGAAUUCGUGGUGUAGCGGUGAAAUGCUUAGAUAUCACGAAGAACUCCGAUUGCGAAGGCAGCCUGCUAAGCUGCAACUGACAUUGAGGCUCGAAAGUGUGGGUAUCAAACAGGAUUAGAUACCCUGGUAGUCCACACGGUAAACGAUGAAUACUCGCUGUUUGCGAUAUACUGCAAGCGGCCAAGCGAAAGCGUUAAGUAUUCCACCUGGGGAGUACGCCGGCAACGGUGAAACUCAAAGGAAUUGACGGGGGCCCGCACAAGCGGAGGAACAUGUGGUUUAAUUCGAUGAUACGCGAGGAACCUUACCCGGGCUUAAAUUGCAGAUGAAUUACGGUGAAAGCCGUAAGCCGCAAGGCAUCUGUGAAGGUGCUGCAUGGUUGUCGUCAGCUCGUGCCGUGAGGUGUCGGCUUAAGUGCCAUAACGAGCGCAACCCUUGUUGUCAGUUACUAACAGGUUCCGCUGAGGACUCUGACAAGACUGCCAUCGUAAGAUGUGAGGAAGGUGGGGAUGACGUCAAAUCAGCACGGCCCUUACGUCCGGGGCUACACACGUGUUACAAUGGGGGGUACAGAGGGCCGCUACCACGCGAGUGGAUGCCAAUCCCCAAAACCUCUCUCAGUUCGGACUGGAGUCUGCAACCCGACUCCACGAAGCUGGAUUCGCUAGUAAUCGCGCAUCAGCCACGGCGCGGUGAAUACGUUCCCGGGCCUUGUACACACCGCCCGUCAAGCCAUGGGAGCCGGGGGUACCUGAAGUGCGUAACCGCGAGGAGCGCCCUAGGGUAAAACUGGUGACUGGGGCUAA
rnacentral:rRNA from 1 species